rnacentral:lncRNA from 1 species
CUCCUGGCUCCACAAUUCUUUUUUUUUUCCUUCCUUAGCACCUAUCCUGAGAAGGAACGUGGAAUGCUGGGAGAGAGAGUCCUCGGGGUGAGAAUUCCAAUUGCACACUAUCUUUCUACAAUCUUUCCAACAUUCACUGUUUCCAUAUUUUAUCGUCUUUGACAGUUUGCUGGGAGUGAGUGGACUUUGAUGUCUUUGGAAGAGAGAAUAAGGAUGACAACUUUGUGCAACUCUGCCUCACAAAUCCAAGUUAUGAUACCACCCCUUGAUCGGUCUUCUUCAAAAAUGAAAGACAUGAACUUCGGCCAUCCUGACCAUGCAGCUUAGGAGCAUAGAGUACAACAUAGAUGAGUCGCAUUAUUACGCAGUCUGGAAUACUGAGUUCAAAAUCAGCCUGACACUGACUAGGCUCUGCAAACCUAAUAAAAGAACCAAAUUUAGAAUUUUGAUAAGUAGAUGUGAUGGAUGGAGUGGAGAGGGGAGACAUUGGAGGAAGGGAGAAAAGCCAGGAAAAUAUUACAAUAGUGAAGAUAAGAGGUAAUAAAGGCUUAAACUAUAAAGGUGGUCAUGUGAGUUCAUGGAAGGAAACAAAUUAGAGAAAUGCUGUGGGUAAAAUUAAAAAGUUUUAGCAACUGAUUCAAUAUCACAAUUUAAUGAGUGGUCAAAAAAAGUCAAAAAUGAAUCUGAGAUUUCAGUCCUGGGCUUUUGAAAGGUUGGUACUCCUUUCACCAGAAAGAGGGACAUAUAGAGAAAGGGCAGGUUUAAAGGGAAAGGCAAACCAUCAGGAUGACAUUCAGAUGAGAUAUUUAGUAUACAACUAGAGGUGAAAGACUACAAUGUAGAGGAGAAAUUAAGACUAGAUAUAGAAAUCUGAAUAUGUUCCAAACGAAUUCAAGAGAAAAAGUUGAUUAUAUUAGAUCCUGAGAUCGCAAGAACUUGCCUUUGAUAUAAAGAUGGACUAUAAUGUAGUAGAAAGUAUUCUCGACUUGGAGUGAAAGAUGCUAAUUCUUUCUAAUU